rnacentral:rRNA from 1 species
AUUGACAGAUUGAUAGCUCUUUCAUGAUUUAGUGGUUGGUGGUGCAUGGCCGUUCUUAGUUCGUGGAUAUGAUUUGUCUGGUUGAUUCCGAUAACGAGCGAGACUUUUAUGUUAUAUUAAAUAAUAUUAUUGUUAAAUUUUAUUUUUAUAUAAUAUUUUAUUUUAAUAACAGAUUAAUAGUGUUUAACUAUUUGAGAGAGAGCAAUAACAGGUCUGUGAUGCCCUUAGAUGUCCGGGGCUGCACGCGCGCUACAAU